rnacentral:rRNA from 1 species
CUGCUCAGUAACACGUGGACAACCUGCCCUGAGGACUGGCACCAAUAAUCCCGGGAAACUGGGGGUAAUUCCAUAUGUCAGAACUCCUGGAAUGGGUUCUGGCAGAAAGCACCGCUCCGGCGCCUCAGGAUGGGUCUGCGGCCUAUCAGGAGGGUAGUAGUGGGUGUAACGUACCUACUAGCCUACGACGGGUACGGGUUGUGAGAGCAGGAAGAGCCCGGAGAUCACCGGAUUCUGAGACAUGAAUCCAGGCCCUACGGGGUGCAGCAGGCGCGACACCAAACUUUACACGACGGGCAACCGCGAUAAGGGGACCUCGAGUGCUGGGUUACAAAGGACCUGGCUGUUGGGCUGCCUAAAAAGCAGUCUAUAGCAAGGAGGGCCGGGCAAGACCGGUGCCAGCCGCCGCACACCCAGACACCGGCGGCUCGAGUGGUAACCGCUAUUAUUGGGUCUAAAGGGUCUAGGGUAGCCGGCCGACUAAGUCUCUUGGGAAAUCUGGCAUCUCAAGUGUCAGGCUGCCAGGGGAUACUGGUCGGCUUGGAGGACCGGGAGAGGUGAGAGGUACCUCGGGGGUAGGGGUGAAAUCUUGUAAUCCUCGGACAGUGGCGAAGGCGUCUCACCAGAACGGAUCCGACGGCAAGGGACGAAAGCUAGGGGAGCACGAACCGGAUUAGAUACCCGGGUAGUCCUAGCCGUAAACGAUACUCGCUAGGUGUCGGCCACGGUGCGACCGUGGUCGGUGCCGUUUGGCGGGGGAGC